AGUGAACGCUGGCGGUAGGCCUAACACAUGCAAGUCGAACGGCAGCACAGUAAGAGCUUGCUCUUACGGGUGGCGAGUGGCGGACGGGUGAGGAAUACAUCGGAAUCUACUUUUUCGUGGGGGAUAGCGUAGGGAAACCUACGCUAAUACCGCAUACGACCUACGGGUGAAAGCAGGGGAUCUUCGGACCUUGCGCGAUUGAAUGAGCCGAUGUCGGAUUAGCUAGUUGGCGGGGUAAAGGCCCACCAAGGCGACGAUCCGUAGCUGGUCUGAGAGGAUGAUCAGCCACACUGGAACUGAGACACGGUCCAGACUCCUACGGGAGGCAGCAGUGGGGAAUAUUGGACAAUGGGCGCAAGCCUGAUCCAGCCAUACCGCGUGGGUGAAGAAGGCCUUCGGGUUGUAAAGCCCUUUUGUUGGGAAAGAAAAUCAGCAGGUUAAUACCCCGCUGUUCUGACGGUACCCAAAGAAUAAGCACCGGCUAACUUCGUG
rnacentral:rRNA from 1 species